rnacentral:lncRNA from 1 species
ACAUGGCAUAGCUCAAGUAGGCAACAAGAUUUACUCUUUUGGUGGUGAGCUCAUACCAAAUCAGCCCAUCGAUAAACACCUUUACGUCUUUGACCUCGAGACCCGGACUUGGUCCAUUGCUCCAGCCACCGGAGACGUUCCACACCUCUCUUGCUUAGGUGUCCGUAUGGUGUCAGUAGGAUCGACCCUCUAUACCUUUGGAGGCCGAGACUUUUCACGCCAAUACAACGGUUUCUACUCGUUUGACACGACAACAAACGAGUGGAAACUGCUAACUCCGGUGGAAGAAGGACCCACUCCUCGUAGUUUCCAUUCGAUGGCAGCGGAUGAGGAAAACGUUUACGUUUUCGGUGGAGUGGGUGCUAUGGAUCGAAUCAAGACACUAGACUCUUACAAUAUCGUUGACAAGACGUGGUUUCAUUGUUCGAAUCCAGGAGAUUCCUUUAGCAUAAGAGGAGGAGCAGGGCUCGAAGUGGUGCAAGGGAAAGUAUGGAUUGUGUAUGGAUUUAACGGAUGUGAAGUAGAUGAUGUUCAUUUCUACGAUCCUGCUGAAGACAAAUGGACACAAGUGGAAACAUUCGGUGUGAAGCCUAACGAAAGGAGUGUUUUCGCUAGUGCGGCUAUUGGGAAACACAUUGUGAUAUUUGGAGGUGAGAUUGCGAUGGAUCCACGAGCUCACGUAGGUCCGGGUCAAUUAAUCGAUGGGACUUUCGCGUUGGAUACAGAGACGUUGCAAUGGGAGAGGUUAGAUAAGUUUGAGGGGACUCCGAGUAGCAGAGGAUGGACCGCGUCCACGACUGGAACCAUUGAUGGUAAGAAAGGACUUGUGAUGCAUGGUGGUAAAGCUCCAACCAAUGACCGGUUUGAUGACCUCUUCUUUUACGGAAUUGACUCUGUCUGAUUAAGCGCGAUUUGAUCAUGACCGUUUGUGUUUUAUUUGUUUGUGUGUCUGUGUGUCUGUGUGAUGCAAUAAGGGAGGGAUCGUGAUACCUCUAUAUGAUCCUUCGUCAGCUUAUCCAUUUUAUUUUUUAUUUUCUAAAUGUAUCUUUUUGUUUUUUGUUUUCUGUUUUGUAUGUUUAAUGUUUCGUGGCUUGUUCAAUAAGAUGUUUAUUUUCCGAAUUUUUUUUGGGUAUGUUACGUUAUACUACAAACAAAAAUAUUAUGAUUUUGAUUUUCUCUAAAGAUGAAAUGAAUAGAACAAGAAGUCAGCAGAUAGGGUGGUUUCAUCUACUUUUGUGGUUGGUAAAUGUGGUUAGAAAAAUUUGCAUUGAAUUGUAAGUUUCUAUCCAUAAAAGAAACAAAAAAUUAAUGUAAUCAAGAGUGGAAAGUUACCAAUGGAUUAUAAAAAUCUUGCAAUUCUAAUAAAUCCUCAUGUCAACGGUACAGAUAAGAUAAGGGUAAGGGGCAAACAAUCUUGUUGGUUCAAAUGGCAAGUAAACAAGGGCAAUUAUAUCCACCUAAUCCAUUGCGUUUUCUUUCUCUAAUCUUAGAAUCUACUUUAAUUGUAUGUUUUUCUCUUUCAUCUACUUUCCAAAACUAUAUAACCUCAUUUCUAUACUUUUUAUGCAUUUAUUUUGAAACCCCUUUAUCAAAAAAAAAAAAGGGGCCAAUUUUUCUUCAAAAAUGGUUACUUUAAGAUUCUCAUAUACAGUGUGCCAAAAAAAAAAAAGGUACCUAAAAUAUUUAUUAUUUCAGAUAUUGGUCAACAUAUUAUCUGUAACAGAAAAAUGUUCACGUGAUAUUUGCGAAUCACAUUUUUCUAGGGGCAAAAGUGAUAUAUGAGAAUCUUAAAGUAACCUUUUCUAGAAUAAUUGCCCUUGUUUACUUGCCACUGUAGUCAUUUAUUUAAUUUAUGUUCAAAAACAGAUUACCUACCUAAUUCACCGAAACGAAAAAUUUUGUUGCCAGUUUUUGUUUUUUUUAAUUUUUUUUUUCCUCUUUUUAGUUUACCUUCUCUUUUUUCUGUUCAACAUUAAACUAGAAGGUAGAGUAAUAAAUAACGAUGGAUGGAUGUGUUGAAAACGCGCUUUAUGCAUGAUUCAUACGAGAGCAGCUGAGGAGGAGACAAAAAACGGGUCUACACUAUAUCAGACUUUUUUUUGUUUUUUUGGUGUAAAACUAUAUCAGAUGGAAAAAUAUCAACCAAAUAAUGUAGAAACUAUAUCAAACUUUUAACAAAACUAUCAACCCAAUAUUUUAUAUUUUAUUAAAAAACAAUACUAAUAAUUUUUCCUUUUCCUCGUUUUUUUUUUUCUGAUCAACCAUUCACACGUUGUUUUUCGUAAUUAUGAUUCUGCAUAAUGCUUUCUCUAAAUCAAAAACUCCACGCCACGGUUCAACUGAUGUAGUGCCUCCACCGUUGUCGUUUGACUCGUUGCAGAGGACACCAUUAUGCACUUCGAUUCAUUUUCAAAAUCGUCUUUCUCUACUGAAUUGUUACUCCAUUUAAUUUUUUGGUCCAUAGAUAACAUAGACCAUUAUACUAGUAUGUUAAAUGUAUACUUAUCAGUUACCGCACAACAUUAAUUCUUAAAGAGGGUUCAUUUUCGAGAAUUGAGUACAACACUACCAUUAGGCCAAAAUGCGAGAGGCAAAAAAAGAUAUAGCAUAUACUUAUCAUGAAUAAUGAAAAUCUUUUCCAUCCAAAUAAAAAUCUUUCUUCUCAUAAAAGAAAGAAGAGAAAAAACAAUGAGUUUGCAUAUCUUUAUCCUGUAGAAUGAUAAUCUUCCCCAUCAACUACUGUAGAUCGUCAACGUGUACUCACUUCCAUUAUCGAUCGAAUCAUCAAUUUAAUGCCUCGUGAAUCACGAGAUCAUAUAAUAUGACAAGAAAUUCGUCCCGUUUAUCUACUGCUGGUCAAUAAAUACUCAUGCAAUUCCCACCAAUAGAUCACUCAACCAAUUUCUUCUCAGGUUCUCUCUUCACACCUCUCCCCUUCUCUAUGAUUAUAGAUAGUAUAUGAUUUGGUUAAAUUAUCUAUAUUUCUUUUUUGAUAAAGGAUUUGGUUAAAUUUUUAAUUGCAGGUAAUACUCGUAAGAUUUAUCAACACAAGCAAAAAAGAUGGCCCAAAAGCUAGAAGCAAAGGGUGGUGAGAUGGGAGAUGUAUGGGAUGAUGGUGUUUACGAAAAUGUUAGAAAGGUAUAUGUAGGGCAAGCACAAUACGGUAUAGCCUUCGUCAAGUUUGAGUAUGUCAAUGGUUCUCAAGUGGUUGUUGGAGAUGAACAUGGAAAGAAGACAGAGCUAGGAGUUGAAGAGGUACUAAAAUAGAUUUUUUUUUUUUUUUUUUUUUUUUUUUUUUUUUAGUCAAAAGGUACUAAAAUAGAUUUAUAUGUUGUGAUUGAUCAAGAGGUAGGGUCUUUUUUUUUUUUGUUGCUUUCCGCAUUGAAAAUUGCUUGGUUUCUUUGCAGUUUGAGAUUGAUGCGGAUGACUACAUCGUAUACGUGGAAGGUUACCGUGAGAAAGUUAACGAUAUGACGUCAGAAAUGAUCACGUUUCUUUCUAUUAAGACUUUUAAAGGCAAAACCUCUCAUCCUAUCGAAAAAAGACCUGGGGUUAAGUUUGUGCUACAUGGUGGAAAAAUCGUUGGGUUUCACGGACGUUCAACAGAUGUUUUACACUCCCUUGGGGCCUAUGUUUCUUUGUCAUCCACUAUCAAAUUGCUUGGGAAGUGGAUUAAGGUAAUAAUCUCUUAGACCAAUCCAAAAACAAAAAUAAAAAAUUAUCUCACAUAAAUAUGUUGUUAUUGUUACCACCGCAAAAUCACUAAAUCACUUACGAGAAAGAAAAAAUGAAGAAGAAAAGAGGGUUGAAUUUGGAAUUCAGAUAAUGACACUUUUAAAAUUUAUAAUUUUAUUAAAUUUAUCUUAUGGGAGUUCAUUAAUCAGAUAAAUAAUUUCUUUAAAAAUAACUAAAAAAUAUUACUCAUAGGUGGAGCAAAAAGGAGAAGGUCCAGGGCUAAGAUGCUCACAUGGCAUAGCACAAGUAGGCAACAAGAUUUACUCCUUUGGUGGCGAGUUCACACCAAAUCAGCCCAUCGACAAACACCUUUACGUCUUUGACCUCGAGACCCGGACUUGGUCCAUUUCUCCAGCCACCGGAGACGUUCCACACCUCUCUUGUUUAGGUGUCCGGAUGGUGUCAGUAGGAUCGACCCUCUAUGUCUUUGGAGGCCGAGACGCUUCACGCCAAUACAACGGUUUCUACUCGUUUGACACGACCACUAACGAGUGGAAACUGCUAACUCCGGUCGAAGAAGGACCCACUCCUCGUAGUUUCCACUCAAUGGCAGCCGAUGAGGAAAACGUUUACGUUUUCGGUGGAGUGAGUGCUACGGCACGACUCAAUACACUAGACUCUUACAACAUCGUUGAUAAGAAGUGGUUUCAUUGUUCGACUCCAGGAGAUUCCCUUACCGCAAGAGGAGGAGCAGGGCUCGAAGUGGUGCAAGGGAAGGUAUGGGUUGUGUAUGGGUUUAACGGAUGUGAAGUAGAUGAUGUUCAUUACUACGAUCCUGUUCAAGACAAGUGGACACAAGUGGAAACAUUCGGUGUGAGGCCUUCCGAAAGAAGUGUAUUCGCUAGUGCGGCUAUUGGGAAACACAUUGUGAUUUUUGGAGGUGAAAUUGCGAUGGACCCGCUAGCUCACGUGGGUCCAGGUCAAUUGACCGAUGGAACUUUUGCAUUGGACACAGAGACGUUGCAAUGGGAGAGGCUGGAUAAGUUUGGUGGAGAGGAAGAGACUCCGAGUAGCAGAGGAUGGACCGCGUCCACGACUGCUACCAUUGAUGGUAAGAAAGGACUUGUGAUGCAUGGUGGUAAAGCUCCAACCAAUGACCGGUUUGAUGAUCUCUUCUUUUACGGGAUUGACUCUGCCUAAUUAAGGCAGAUUUGGUGAUCAUGAACGUUUGUGAAUGUGUGUGUGUGUGUGUGGGUCUGUGUUUGUGUGUGUAAUAAGGGAGGGGUAUACCACCAUAUGAUCCUUCCCCAGCUUGACCAUUGUUUUUUUUUUAAUAUGUUUUUCUUUCUACAUGUUUGUUUCACGUUUCAUGUUGUAUCCAAUAAAUUGUGUACUUUCCUAGUAGUAAUCGCCAGAAAAAAAAAAAAAAAAAAAAAACCUAGUAGGUAGAGUCAUAGCUUACAAUUAAAUAAAUAACGAUGGAUGUGUUGAAAACGCGUUUAUGCAUGAUUCAUGAAUUGUAUAUACGAGAGCAGCCGAGGAGGAGAUAAAGAGAGGGGUCUACAAUGAUCAAUACUAACUUAAUUUUGUAGUGUUGUCAGUCAAUAAUGUAUACCUAUCAAAAUGGGGCCUAUAUUCCAUCACUAGUGAGUUCGUCAGUCAAUAAUGUAUUUUCCGACACUUAAAAAACGUUCCAAAUCAUAAUACUUAUAAUUAUAACCAGAUAAGUUUUACUGAAUCCCAGACUAAUUCUCAAACUUUGCUAUCAUGUUAUUAACAAACAUUACAAUGUAGAGAAAUAUGGAUGCCCUAGUUUCAACUAACACGAUGAAUCAUGUCAAUCACUGUAUAAAUAGUUAAUAAGUUGUGACUUUUUUUUUUGUCGGCUAAUAAGUUGUGACUUUAGGCACCGUCAAUAUUCAACUGUAAUUAUAAUCGUAUAUAAUAAGUGAUUAUAUCUGUCAAAUAUCAUAUAUAACAAAUAAUAUAAUUGUAUGUAUAUAUAUUAUCUCUAUCAACUAUAAUCAUAUACAGAAAGAAAAAAAACAAGUGUUACAUCACGCUUAGCUUAAAAGUUUCGACUUUUUGCACCGUCAUAUUUCACGUGUAAGCAAGAAAUACAAAUGUAAAUAGAUUAUAAUUAAUGAAUUCUCUCGACUCUCUCAACAUAGUAUAUAAAAGGAAAUCUACACAUGAACCGUAUCUUUCUCACUUUUGAAAUAUUUUGAUGUUUUAAAGAAAUUUUUUCAAAAUUUUAUAUAAAUUAUAAAUUAAUUUAAUAUUUUUUGAUUAUUUAUAUUUUUCAUCAGUCUUGUUCAUAAUUGGUUGAAUUGUUUUAAAGUAAAUAUUUCUUUAGCUAAAACAUCUUAUACAAUUAAAAGAAAAAAGUGUAAUCAAAUAACCAAAUAUAAAUUAGUAUUUCAAAUUAUACUUAUUGCAGGGUGAUAAACCUUUUGUCCCAAGUGAAGUUAAACCUAUAAAUAUAUACCCCAUUUAGAGGGUCCUAUAUAACUAAAGUACCACAUAUUUGGUGGUUUAUAUCAUUCAAUUUUUUUGUAACUAACUUAAUAUUUGAUAUGUAAAAUCAUGUUAAAAUAGGAUCAGCAGAUAGAAUAUAUAAAAAAUAAGUCAUGUACAAACGUAACGUUCUUCAUAUCUUAGGUAACGUAUCUAACAAUUUUGUUAAAUAUUAUUAUUUUAAAAAAUUGAACAUAUUAUUUGGAAACUUUUCUUUUGAUAAUUUUGAAAUGGCACUUUGUAAUUAAGAGUUUAAUAAAGAACACGUCACACACAAAAACGAAGAAAGAGAUUAUAGAAAUUAAGUUGUGUUUUCAAUCUUCGUGUAUACAAAACAAAAAUAAAAAUUAGAAAUGAUAUUUCAUACGAUGUUGUUAAAUAAUAUAAUUAUGAAAAUUAGUUGUGCUUUAUAUUAUUAUUUUUGUUGGAAGCUCUAGAAACGAUCGACCUAAUAGUAUAUUUUUGUCACUAAAAAGUGUGAUUAAAAUAUAUAUAUAUAUAUAUAUAUAUAUAUAUAUAUAUAUAAUAUUGUAAUUUUCAACCAAUUCUCGGUUUAGGUGGUUUAUUAUUAUAUUGUUUUUUGAAAAAAUUAAAAAAUAUAUCCUUAUUAGUUCAUUCUUUUCUGGUCAUUCGUUCACACUUUACAACUUGGUUAAUGGCCACUUCUCAAGUUAUCGUUCUUUCAUUUGUUCUACAGUCGCAAGAAAUUAUCGUUCUUUCAUUUGUCAUUAUGCAUAAUGAUUUCUCUUUUCUUUUUAGUGCAUAAUGAUCUCACUACAUAAAAAAAUCUAUCUUACGAUUCAACUAUAUUUAGUCCCAUGCACUCGCUGCAUAACACAUUACUUUCUUCGAUUUAGAGUGAUUUUCACAACCUUGUUUCUGUAUUGUAUAUUUAGUUAGUGUUUGUGAUUACCAAAAAAAAAAAUUGUUUCUUCUUGGCUUAGUCUUUUUAUCUUUUUUUUUUUUUUUGCUUCAUCUAUUUUUCCUCCCAUGACAGAUGAAGACGGCAAGAGAUGCAGCAAAUCUCAUUUAUGAUCUAUCUGAAGAAUCAGCGUCAUCGAUUUGGAGACUCGAACCAUAACAAAAAGAGCAUCACAGUUUCAAUUUAAUUGCUCCUGGCGCUUCCUAUUUCAGCAACAAACAUUAAAUAAUUAAUCCAAUAGAGAUGAUAUAUAUGGAAAUUUCAAAACCAAAAAAAGAAACUUUCAAAACCAAAAUUGCGAAGCCAUAGAAAUCGUGGAUCAUGGAAUUGCGAAGACCAAUGUUGACAUAUGGGAAUUUGGUGUCCCAAUGAGCAGAGAUCACUAAGAUUGGUUUUCGGGAGGAACUUUUUGAGUUCAUGAUUUGAAGAAUUGUCUCGCCUAUAAGCUAUCGUCCAUAGUUUGAGAUUCAUGCGACAAGAAGAAGGUUUGAUUCACUUUCUCCAUUUAAUUGAAUCAUCUUCAUAGAUAUAUUUUCAUACUUAAUCAAUGUUUUUACCAAAAAAAUAAUGUUAUUUUAUUAUUUUGGUUUUAUGUGGUUUGGGAUUGGUGUAGAUUAUAAACCGAUUAAACCAAUGUUUUUGUGUUCUGAGAUUUCAAACUUUUGAACUAAAUAAAUAUACGUUUUGGGGAAUAUCCAAUAUCAAUAUGUAUCAUAGUUUGGACUCUAUCUAUUCCAGUAUGAUAAUUCCCGUGGAAAAAUAUAUCAUCGUCUCUAUUUUAUACAUGCACUUGCAACACAAACCAGCCAUAAAGUGGGUCUAUUCUUAUAAUUUAUGACAACAUGGAACACUAUCAUUGGGCCACGAUGCAAGGAGCGAAGGACGAUGCGAGAAGGUGCUUUACUGAUUUGAUGAACGUGGAGGUGAUUCUGAAUGAUACGAGAUCUCUAAGCUGAAUAUAUAAUAGUAUAGUUUUUCGUAAUUUUUUUUUGUUAAAUUUUUUAUCGCUGCUAAAGAUUAAAUGGCGAGUAAAACUAUACUAUUAUACUUUCAAAGAUCACCCGAGAAAAUGAUGACUGCACAUACUUUCAAUAUCCCAUAGAUGACAUAUCUGUUUUAUUUCCAUCAAGCUAUUCAUCGAAACAAAAGCACAUGACGAUUAUGGGAGAGAAACACUACUCUAAAAUCCCGUAAUAAGCUGCACCACCUAAUUUUUUGUGCCUUGACCAAAAAAAAUUCAAUGUUGCAGUUCAACGAACCUUCUUACGGAGGAUCUUUAAACAAAAUUUAUUUGGUACAUAGAGAAAAAUAUUUUAAUAUAUACUAAUUUAAUGCCUCGCGAUCAACGAGUAGAGAAAAAAUAUGUCGCGUGUAUCUUCUUCCAUUGGUCAAUAAAUACCAAUGCAAUGUUUACUACACAAAUCAUUACUUCAGUCUCACUCUCAGGUCAGCUCUCUCCACAUCUCUCUCAUAUGAUUGUACUAUGUAUAAGAUUUGGUAAUAUUUGUAAUUACAAGUAAAAUUCGUAAAUACAGAUAAUAUUCGUAAGAGGUUGAUCAAACGAAAGCAAAAGAGAUGGCCCAAAAGGUUGAAGCACAAGGAGGAAAUGGCGGUAACCAAUGGGAUGAUGGAUCCGAAUACGACGCUGUGACCAAGAUUCAAGUCGCAGCAGGCGGGAACGGAAUUGAAUAUGUUAAGUUCACAUACGUCAAGAACGGACAAACCGAAGAAGCCCCUCUACGCGGUGUCAAGGGCCGUAGUUUCGAAGCAGAUCCGGUUCCUAUACACUAUCCUUGCCUAUCUCUUCAUUUUUAUCUAUAAGGACAUUGACGUGAAUUAAUAUAUAUAUAUAUAUAGGUUAUAUAUUGUCAAGGGUUUGUUUUGAUAAUGUUCUUUUUAAGAAAUUGACAUUUUGAUCUUGAUCUCUACAGUUUGUGAUAAACCAUCCGGAGGAGCACUUAGUUUCUGUAGAAGGUCGGUAUAACCCUGAAGGACUUAUUCUAGGGCUAACGUUCAAAUCCAACAAGAAGACUUCUGAUCUCAUUGGAUAUGAAGAUGGUACACCGUUCACUCUCCAAGUUCAAGACAAGAAGAUCGUUGGAUUUUAUGGCUUCGCUGGAAACAAUCUCCAUUCUCUUGGAGCGUACUUUGCUCCGUUGACUAAUGUAACCCCCUUGAAUGCCAAAAAGCUAGAAGCAAAGGGUGGUGACACGGGAGAUAUAUGGGAUGAUGGUGUUUACGAUAAUGUUAGAAAGGUAUAUGUAGGGCAAGCCCAAUAUGGUAUAGCCUUCGUCAAGUUUGAGUAUGUCAAUGGUUCUCAAGUGGUUGUUGGAGAUGAACAUGGAAAGAAGACAGAGCUAGGAGUUGAAGAGGUACAAAAAUAGAUAAUUCUAUGUUGUGAUUCGUCAAAAGGAUAUAUAUAUAUAUAUAUUUAUAUGGGUAACCUCACUCAAAAUUAUUUGGUUUCUUUGCAGUUUGAGAUUGAUGCGGAUGACUACAUCGUAUACGUGGAAGGAUACCGUGAGAAAGUUAAUGGUAUGACCUCAGAGAUGAUCACUUUUCUUUCAUUCAAGACUUAUAAAGGCAAAACCUCUCAGCCUAUCGAACAAAGACCUGGUAUUAAGUUUGUGCUACAAGGUGGAAAAAUUGUUGGGUUUCACGGACGUUCGACCGACGUUCUAGACUCCCUCGGGGCUUAUAUUUCAUUGUCGCCCACUCCAAACUUGCAUGGAAAGUGGACAAAGGUAGUAAUCUUUUAUAUAUCACCAUGGGAGCUAGUUCACUAAGCAGACUCUAUAUUAUAAAAAAUCCUAACUAACAAGUAUUAUUAAUUAAUUAUAAGGUGGAUGAAAAUGGAGAUGGUCCAGGGCUAAGAUGCUCGCAUGACAUAGCACAGGUAGGAAACAAGAUUUACUCUUUUGGUGGUGAGUUCACACCAAAUCAGCCCAUCGACAAACACCUUUACGUCUUUGACAUCGAGAGCCGGACUUGGUCCAUUUCUCCAGCCACGGGAGACAUUCCAACCCUCUCUUGCCUAGGUGUCUGUAUGGUGUCAAUAGGAUCGACCCUCUAUGUCUUUGGAGGCCGAGACGCUUCACGUCAAUACAACGGUUUCUACUCGUUUGACACGACCAC